CUGGAGGUAUCAGAAGUGCGAAUGCUGACAUAAGUAACGAUAAAGCGGGUGAAAAGCCCGCUCGCCGGAAGACCAAGGGUUCCUGUCCAACGUUAAUCGGGGCAGGGUGAGUCGACCCCUAAGGCGAGGCCGAAAGGCGUAGUCGAUGGGAAACGGGUUAAUAUUCCCGUACUUGGUGUUACUGCGAAGGGGGGACGGAGAAGGCUAUGUUGGCCGGGCGACGGUUGUCCCGGUUUAAGCGUGUAGGUGUGUGUUCCAGGUAAAUCCGGUUCACUUUAACACUGAGGCGUGACGACGAGGCACUACGGUGCUGAAGCAAC
rnacentral:rRNA from 1 species